ACGCUGCCCACAGAAUCGCCGCCCCAACCCACGCUCCCUCCUCUCGCCAGUCCUCUCUCCCAUCGCCUCCAUCGUCUCGCUCGUCCUCCUAUCUCCCAUCGCCGCGCUCCGCCUCGCCGUCCUCCUCCUCUCCGUUACGCCUGGGGCAGCCGGCAAGGAUCCCCUCCUCCACUGCUCCCUUUUUCCCCUCCUCCAUCGCUCCCUUUUUCACUGGGCAGAGAGAAGCAGAAAGGGGCGCGAGUUUGUGGGAGAAGUGUCGCUGUCUUCAGCGCAGGGGAGCACGAGCCGCCGAAGAGAAGAGGAGGAAGAGGAGGAGGUGCCAGGGCGGGGCUCAGCAGCGCAGGUCAAGUGCGGGCCAGUGACCCGCUGUGGAAACCCUAGCCGCUCGCGUCGAUUCACGUGCUGCCACCUCCCCGUCCCUCCUCGAGCUCGUCGCGGUCCGGCUAGCCGAGGUGCAGCUGCUGUUUGGAACCUUGGUGAGUUGGGGAAGAUAGCUGGCCGACUCUUUGUUGUACAAUAGGUGCAGCUGCUGUUUGGAACCUUGGUUGUGCUUGCAUCUAAAGGGCGGAGACAAUGGAUGGAACAAAAGAUGGAUCGUCGCAAAGAGGCAUGAGCCUGGCGGCUAAUGAAGGAGAGAGGAGGUGGCAUAUGGAGGAUGAGAAGGCGGAGGAGGUGGUAUAUGGAGGGUGAGCAGGCGGACGAGGUGGCACUCCCACAACCUGCAGCUGGCUUGUCGCGCGAGAAUCAGAAUGCAACAUACUUGUGUUUGUGCCUUUCUAAUCGCCUAUCUAUGUUUUUGAACAUAAUUCCAGCUGUUAACGAAUCAACAUACUGUUAAUUGCAAAGUUAGUACCAUUGUUGUUCCCUUUAAGAUUAUCACGAACAGAAUUUUUUUCUUUCACUGUUCAACAUUUGUUAUAGAAAAGUUACUCCACUUCGUAUGCUCUCUAUAUGUUCAAGUUGGUCUAUUGUUGUAUUUGUUCAAUUCCUCUAAGCAUAUGUUAUUCAGUGUAUUUAUAUUUUGAACGUUUCGCGGGUAUUUAACGUCAACCCCUGCUUGUCAGCCCGGAGAGAGGGAUAUUUUACUCCGUCCUUUAUUUACACCCUGUUGAUUAUCAUCGAGUUCACUCUCCUGUUGAUUGGAAUAUUUUAAAACGUCAACAUUUCUCAGGUAACCUUUUCUGAACAAGUGUACGUGUUGUGCGGACCAUAAGAAACUUGUGUUGAGAAUGAAAGGGUAAAUUGCAAUCCUAGCAGUUGGCGCUACUAAUGUUAGUUCUGUCAGGGUAUGUAUUCUGCCCAAUUAUGAGUUAUUAUUCUCUUAUUGCUGGAAUAUAACUUUCAGCAUGAGAAAUUAUUAUUUUGUUGCUUAUUUCUCUGUAUAUGUUGAGAUGUGACCUUGAAUGCUUGUGUCUGGGUGGCAGGGGAUUUCUAAACCAGUGGCAACAACGGCCAAUGAUCUGAAUUGCAGAUAAUUGUUGUACUGCAUGAUAUCUCUAGCUCCUUUUUCAUAUCGUUUUAUUCUAUUGAUAUUUCAAAGGUUUCCCAAUUAAUAAGUUGACAGAUGAAAAUGAUAUUUAUGUGAGUUGUCACUGAAUUAUUUUUAGGGUACUAACUUUAGUUUCUUUGUACUGAUGUUCUGUACCAGGUAGAGUACAAUCCCAUUUGAUUUUCUCAAUUUGGCAUAAUGAUUGGUUUUUACACAUAGGAAAUACAUUCUGGAAAUUUUGCUUGAUGAUUCUUCUGCCAUGAUUUCUGUGGAUCGCUAUAACAUUACUAUUCAUUUUUCAUGUGGUGUGUUGGCUAGACUUAGUUUAUUGUGUAUAAAAAUAGAUCAACCAUUCAAAUACCUUUUAUGUGUUAUAAGAGAAAGAAACAACAUUUGAUUGGUAUUAGUUUCUGUGAGCAUUGAUUUAUUAUUUAUAACGAGCAAACAAUACUCUUUGCUAUAUAGCAUUUCUGCCUACCAUCUAAAACUGAGCACCUCUUUGUAGGGAAUGAUUUUUGUGGCGUCCAUUCGCUGGCACACGACGUCUCCCAGUGCCGCAUUAUCGCUGAUUCAAUCCUAGGUGCCGCAUCACCAUUCUUGAUGUCGCCACCGCGACAAGGUUGUGGUCAUGUCCUCAGGUAAAUAUUCACCGGAGAAAAACUACAGGCAUAUAUCGUAGUUCCUAUGUUCAGCUGGUUGUAACCUGCCGUGCAUAUGUUUUGAUGAAAUUAUGAAGGAUUUGCAGCUUCCGUCAUCAGCGAGAGAGAAUAGCUGGGAAUGUCGGUGUUCUGUGCUGUUGAGUUAUGGGUGAGUCACCUAAUUGUGGAUGACAAAUAAAGUGUCAGGAAAAUUUGUCUGCCACACAAUAGAAGGGGAUUAGGCGGUGAUGGUGUCUUCGUCUCAGGAAACGCUGGACCUACUUUGUGAUCAAGGAGAACAAAUAUAAACAGAACACUUCUUUUCUCAUGGACAGUUUUAUGUGGCCAUCUCAAGGGUCACUUCGAGGAGUGGAUUAAAGAUUAUUACACUAGAUGAGAAUGGUUCUGCUGGAGUAAGUGGAGGAGAAGGAACGCCUGCCGCUGGUGAGGACUCAGGGUAUUGCCAUCAACAAGAUGGAGGAUCAGACUACCGCCAACUAACUAGAUCAUCUUGAUUCUCUGUUAGCAUAGCUUUGCAUCUAAUAGCUCACACCAAUCUAUGGUUUCCUUGUGCUUAGAUGUUUUAUUAGACAGAUGUAUAAUGCAUUUCUCAAAGUACUGAACGAACUGGAUUGACCUUCACAAUCAAGGCACAUUCUAACAAAUCAGUAGAAAAAAACAUACCAGCUAUCUAGAGAUCUAUUGAAUUUGCUCCA